AUGGAGGAUGGAGGACAGCGAGAAGAAAGGAAGAGAAAUGCAAAGUGUGGGCAGCCGCCAAGAGUGAAAAUAGAGGGAAGUGUCAUGCAAGUGCUGGACAGAAGGCGGCAGGUGGGACGAGCCCCACAGCCCCCUCCUCAAAAACGACCACCUCCAGGACUCAGUGAUCCCUGGGGGGCAGGCUCUGCCAGCCCUCGGCCACACGUGGCUCCGGCACCCAUGGUCCCAGUGCCUUGGAUGGAGACGGCCAGUUCUGGCGGCCAGAUGUGGUGCUCUGGAAUCCAGUCCCAUUUCCUUCCUGGCCACGCCUGUCCAGCGGCCUCUUUGGCUGCAUUCAGCCCCUACUUACCUGGGGACCCCGGCUGGGGCACAAGAGCACCAGGGGGGUAGGGCCCAAAGGGAUCAGGGGAAGCCUCUGGCCUGGAGGGUAUGGGGCACACUUCCCCAAGGGCGGACCCAGCAGGAGGAAGCCCAGGAGCUGGGUCCUGCCGCCCAGGAGCUGGGCCCUGCCACCCAGGCCGGGCUAGGGACAUGGCAGGGCCUGGGCAUCCUGGCGCUGGACUUGGGCGACCUGGGAGGCACAGGGAGGGGAGAGAUGGGCGGCCCCGCCCC
rnacentral:lncRNA from 1 species